AGCAGUCGCCGCGGUAAUACGAAGGGUGCAAGCGUUAAUCGGAAUUACUGGGCGUAAAGCGUGCGUGGGCGGUUUGUUAAGUCUGUUGUGAAAUCCCCGGGCUCAACCUGGGAAUGGCAAUGGAUACUGGCAAGCUAGAGUGUGUCAGAGGAUGGUGGAAUUCCCGGUGUAGCGGUGAAAUGCGUAGAGAUCGGGAGGAGCAUCAGUGGCGAAGGCGGCCAUCUGGGACAACACUGACGCUGAGGCACGAAAGCGUGGGGAGCAAACAGGAUUAGAUACCCGUGUAGUCCCUGUCUCUUAUAC
rnacentral:rRNA from 1 species